rnacentral:tRNA from 3 species
GCCGGGGUAGUUCAGUGGCAGAACGCGUUCUUGGUAAGAACGAGGCCAUGGGUUCAAUUCCCAUCCCCGGCUCCG